UACGUAGGGUGCGAGCGUUAAUCGGAAUUACUGGGCGUAAAGCGUGCGCAGGCGGUUCGUUAAGUUCGUUGUGAAAGCCCCGGGCUCAACCUGGGAACUGCAAUGGAAACUGGCGGGCUUGAGUGUGGCAGAGGGGGGUGGAAUUCCGCGUGUAGCAGUGAAAUGCGUAGAGAUGCGGAGGAACACCGAUGGCGAAGGCAGCCCCCUGGGACAACACUGACGCUCAUGCACGAAAGCGUGGGGAGCAAACAGG
rnacentral:rRNA from 1 species